GGCUCUGACUCAGUCGUGGCAAAGAAAGGUGUAUGGGGAGCCAGGCAGCUCCCCCAGAAAAGUGAAGGGUAUUCAUAAACCCUCAAAUACAGCCACACUACUGAAGAUUUUCUGACAGGUGCCAGAGGGUGUUUACCCGCCUGGAGAAAGACAGGAAUCCUCCUGUGGUUAAAUCUUGGCACCAGAGGAUUUUUCUAGUAGCGUUGGAGCUGCAGAAUUUUUAUCUGAAAUUUCCUCCGGGACCUGAAGAAUGUAUACUGCACUAAUUGGAAUGGUUCUUUCACGAGUCUUGAAAGAAGGAAAGCACAGCCCUCUGACUGAGAAUGGGACAGAAGACAGGAGGAUUUGAUAGUGGGAAGAAGGAAACCAUCCAGAGCCACCCAGCAGUCAAAGUCUGGUCGGGUCAACCUGCUGGUCCAAGAUGGCAGCCAUUGGGAGUAAAUAGGAUGGAGACAUUGAAUAAGGAGGAAGAAACAGAGCUGGGAUGAGAGAAGUCCUCUGCCAAGGCUGUUCAAGACGCUUCCCGAGGGGCAAGCCCCAGAACACACCAGGAAACAGAGCCUCU